rnacentral:lncRNA from 1 species
GGGAGGCAACUAAAGCAGUGUUAAGAGGUAAAUUUAUAGCACUAAAUGCCCACAUCAUAAAGCUAGACAUAUCUCAAAUUGACACCCUAACAUCACAACUAAAAGAACUAGAGAAGCAAGAGCAAACAAAUCCAAAAGUUAGCAGAAGAGAAAAAAAAAAAUGACUAAGAUCAAAGUGGAACUGAAGGAGACAGAGACAUGAAAAACCCUUCAAAAAAAAAAAGAAAGAAAUAAAACAUGUUCAAAUAGCAAGAGAUAAAAUCAAAUUGUCUGUGUUUGCAGAAAAUGUGAUUCUAUAUCUAGAAAACCACAUCGUCACAGCCCAAAAACUCCUUAAGCUGAUAAGCAAGUUCAGCAAAGUCUGAAGAUACAAAAUCAAUGUGCAAAAAUCACAAGCAUUCUUAUACACCAGCAAUAGACAAUAUUCUUCAAUUCCUAUACACCAACAAUAGGCAAGAGAGCCAAAUCAUGAAUGAACUCCCAUUCACAAUUGUUACAAAGAGAAUAAAAUACCUAGGAAUACAGCUAACGAUGGAUGUGAAGAACCUCUUCAAGGAGAACUACAAGCCACUGCUCAAGGAAAUAAGAGAGGACACAAACAAAUGGAAAAAUAUUCCAUGCUCAUGGGUGGGAAGAAUCAAUCUCAUGAAAAUGGCCAUACUGCCCAAGGUAAUUUAUAGAUUCAGUGCUAUUCACAUCAAACUACCAUUGACAUUCUUCACAUAAUUAAAAAAAAACUACUUUAAGUUUCAUAUGCAACCAAAAAAGAGACUGAAUAGUCGAGACAAUCCUAAGCCAAAAGAACAAAGCUGGAGGCAUCAUGCUAUAUGACUUCAAACUAUACUACAAGGCCACACUAAUCAAAACAGCAUGGUACUGUUACCAAAACAGACACACAGACCAAUGGAGCAGAAUAGAGAUCUCAGAAAUAAGACCACACAUCUACAACCAUCUGAUCUUUGACAAACCUGACAAAAACAAGCAAUGGGGGAAGGAAUACCUAUUUAUUUAUUUAUUUAUUUAUUUUGAGACAAAGUCUCACUCUGUCACCAGGCUGGAGUGCAGCGGCAUGAUCUCAGCUCACUGCAACCUCUGCCUCCCGGAUUCAAGUGAUUCUCCUGCCUCAGCCUCCUGAGUAGCUGGGACUACAGGUUCGAGCCACCACGCCCAGCUAGUUUUUGUAUUUUUAGAAGAGACGGGGUUUCACCAUGUUGGCCAGGAUGGUCUUGAUCUCUUGACCUCAAGAUCCACCUGCAUCAGCCUCCCAAAGUGCUGAGAUUAUAGACAUGAGCCACUGCACUUGGCCAGGAUUCCCUAUUUAAAUGGUGCUGGGAAAACUGACUAGCCAUAUGCAGAAAACUGAAACUGGACCUCAUCCUUACAUCUUAUGCAAAAAUUAACUCAAGAUGGAUUAAAAACUUAAAUGUGAAACCCCGAACUGUAAAAAACCCUAGAAGAAAAUCUAGGAAGUUCCAUUCAGGACAUAGGCAUGAGCAAAGAUUUUAUGAUGAAAUCAUCAAUAGCAAUUGCAACAAAAGCAAAAAUUGAUAAAUGGGAUCUAAUUAAACGUAAGCACUUCUGCACAGGGAAAGAAACUAUCAUCAGAGUGAACAAGCAACCUACAGAAUGGGAGAAUAUUUUUGCAAUCUACCAAUCUGACAAAGGUCUAAUAUCCAGAAUCUACAAGGAACUUAAACAAAUUUACAAGAAAAUAACAACCCCAUCAAAACAUGGGCAAAGGCCACGAACAGACAUUCUGAAAAGAAGACAUUUAUGCGUCCGACAAACAUAUGAAAAAAAAAGCUCAACACUAGUGUUUAUUAGAGAAAUGCAAAUCAAAACCACAAUGAGAUACCAUCUCAUGCCAGUCAGAAUGGCAAUUAUUAAAAAGUCAAGAAACAACAGAUGCUAGAGAGGCUGUGGAGAAACAGGAACACUUUUACACUGUUGGUGGGAAUGUAAACUAGUUCAACCAUUGUGGAAGACAGUGUGGCAAUUCCUGGAGGAUCUAGAAGCAGAAAUACCAUUUGACCCAGCAAUCCCAUUACUAGGUUUAUAUCCAAAGAAAUAUAAAUCAUUCUGUUUUAAAGAUACAUGCACACUUAUGUUUAUUGCAGCACUAUUCACAAUAGCAAAGACAUGGAAUCAGCCCAAAUGUCCAUCAAUGAUAGACUGGAUAAAGAAAAUGUGAUACAUAUACACCAUGGAAUACUAUGCAGCCAUAAAAAGGAAUGAGAUCAUGUCUUUUGCAGGGACAUGGAUGAAGCUGGAAGCCAUAAACUUCAGCUAAUUAACACAGGAACAGGAAACCAAACACCACAUGUUCUCAUAAGUGGGAACCGAACAAUGAGAACACAUGGACACAGGGAGGGGCAGAACACACACCGGAGCCUGUUGGGAAGGUAGGGGGAAGGAGAGCAUCACGAUAAAUAGCUAAUGCACGUGGGGCUUAAUACCUAGGUGAUAGGUUGAUAGGUGCAGCAAACCACCAUGGCACAUGUUUAACUAUGUAACAAACCUGCACAUCCUGUACAUGUAUCCUGGAACUUAAAAUAAAAUAGAAAAGACAAAGAAGGAUAUUACAUAAUGGCAAAGGCUUCAAUUCAACGAGAAGACCUAACUAUCCUAAAUAUAUAUUCAUCCAAUGCAGGAGCACCCAGAUUCAUAAGUAAAGUUCUUAGAGACCUACAAAGUAUGUUUCACAGUAAUAGUGGGAGAUUUCCACACUCCAAUGACAGUAUUAGACAGAUGAUUGAGGCAAAAAAAUGAACAAAGAUAUUCAGGACCUGAACUCAACAUUGGAUCAAAUGGAUCUGAUAGACCUUUACAGAACUCUGCACUCAAAAACAACAGAAUAUGCAUUCCUCACAUCAUCAUAUGCCACAUACUCUAAAAUCAACCACAUAAUUGGACAUAAAGCAAUCCUCAGCAAAUGCAAAACAACUGAAAUCAUACCAAAUACAUACUGAGAUCACAGUGCAGUAAAAAUAGAAGACUAAGAAAAUUGCUGAAAAUCAUGCAAUUACAUGGAAAUCAAUCAACAUGCUCCUGAAUGACUUUUUAAUAAAUAAUGAAAUUAAGGCAGAAAUCAAGAAGCUCUUUGAAAAUAAUGAGAACAAAGUUACAACAUACUAGAGCCUCUGGACACAGCUAAGACAAUGUUAGGAGGGAAAUUUAUAGCACUAAAUCCCACAUCAAAAAGUUAGGAAGAACUCAAAUUAAUAACCUAACAUCACAACUGAAAGAACUAGAGAAGCAAGACAAAACCCCAAAGCUAGAGGAAGACAAGAAAUAACUGAAAAUCUGAGCUGAACUGAAAGAAACCGAGACAUGAAAAAAAGAAAUUCAAAAGAUCUAUGAAUUCCGGUUUCUCCACAGACACUACCCAAAGCAGUGCUUCACUACAGUGGCAGACAGACCUGAAAAUUUUCAUCUGAAGCAGCAGAGUGAACUGCAGAGGCAGGUCACCAACCAGUGUGGAGGCUAAAAGCGGGCCUCUUUGGGGAUUCCAGGUGGAAGUGUUGGACAUCUGUAGUAUUCCUGGUCUCGAAUCAUCCUGAUAUUCUUCAUUUUGUUAUUCACAUUGGACUAGGCAGGAACAAAGAUCACCACAACUGGCUCCCCUUCAACUAUGUUAGAUGGCAACUUGCCUUCAGUAUGGUGAAACACAUCAGUUAAGACCGGGGUUGUGCAUGGCAGGACUUUCUACAAGGACACCCAGUCUCCUUAAUAAACAUGAGAUGCUCUCUUUCCAGAAUUUCUCUUGCCUGACACAGCAUAGGAAGAUGCUGAACGGCCACACAGUGAUCCAUUGAGAUAGAAUCUCACUAUGUUGACCAGGCUGGUCUUGAACUCUUGGCACCCAAGCGAUCCUUUUGCCUGGAAUCCCAAAGUGUCAGAUUUACUGAAGAAUAUUUCAUUGUAAUUACUUUUUAUACUUUAUAGGUCAAGAGCUCUGUUUUAAAUACAAAAUUUAUUGAAUAUACUUUUUCAAACAAAGUUUCAUGUUCUAAUCAUUGUCUGAUUUCAGCAUUAAAUGAAACAC